UACGAAGGGUGCUAGCGUUGCUCGGAAUCACUGGGCGUAAAGGGUGCGUAGGCGGGUCUUUAAGUCAGGGGUGAAAUCCUGGAGCUCAACUCCAGAACUGCCUUUGAUACUGAGGAUCUUGAGUUCGGGAGAGGUGAGUGGAACUGCGAGUGUAGAGGUGAAAUUCGUAGAUAUUCGCAAGAACACCAGUGGCGAAGGCGGCUCACUGGCCCGAUACUGACGCUCAUGCACGAAAGCGUGGGGAGCAAACGGG
rnacentral:rRNA from 1 species